GGGGCUUUCUUUCGCAAAAAGGUUUGCCCCAUUUCUCUUGUUGAAAUUGUGGGGCUAGUCAGGGCUGUUCCCAGCUUAGCUGGAAUCACUUUCGUUUAUAGUAUCCCCAAAGGUUGGCUUAAUUUUGAGUGUGUGCAGUGCUGUUGGCCAAAUUUUAAGCUAGCCUUGGGUGGGAGCACUAAUUUGAGUUCCUUUAAUAUUGCUAUGAGACUAAGAUUCUCAAGAGCAGAAGCAGGGAGGCCUAUUCGGCCUGCACAUAACUUCCAAGCCUAAGUCUGCUACAGGUAGCAGUUAAUUGUUAAGUCUCUGACACGUGACUCAUUCUCGCUAUAGGAAUGUAUCUGCUUGCAGGCCCAGUUGCUGCUAAUGUAUAUCUGAGGCAGACAGAGGGCCCCAGAGGCUCUCUGUGCCUCCAAGGACUAUGAGCACUCUGUGUAUGCUCUUGAACUAUGCUGUUUCUGAACAAGUUUAUUUUCUUUAAGUUUGUUUUGCCCUGAUAGUGGCGACUGCCAUUUUAGAGAUGAGCCAUUGUGGCUUAGUGGCUAAAGUGUAGGACUAGGACCUGGGAGACAGGGUUCAUAUCCCCCUCUUAGCCAUUGUUAUAACAAAACAAAACAAACUGCUCCUUUUGGGCUAUUCUGUUGCUGGGUAGUUAGGCCCGUUUGUGAUAAAAGAACUUUGGGUUUCUUGAAGGGGUGCUUCCCUCUAAAAGGGCAAACAGGGGUACCUGGACAAGCUGUGGGCUACCUCAACUCUGCUAUUUCACUGGAAACAUUUAUGCCUGGCCUAGCAGGUGAUCCUAGGGCUUUGCCCUAGAAUUCAAUGGCCUGGAAGCGUUUCCGGCCUGAAUAGUGUCCCCAUGUGGUCCAUGAAGCAUUGGUUUCACUGGGUCAGCGCAUAGUGCUGGUAAUGCCUGGGUUGCAGGAUUGGUCCCUGUAUGGGACAGCUGCAUGCUCCCCCAUUGCUCUACCUGGACACUUAAGUCCUUUUGGUGGUUACCUCACUGCGAGGGAUGUAACGGGCGCCACGUUUGCAAUAUGCAAGCGGGAGAAAGCACCUUUGCGUGCCCGCAUUGCAGUUUGUGUGUUGCAGGGCACGGCGCUGCACGGGCUGCAAUUGCAUUGCAUUGCAUGAGAGAUUUGCAGUUGCAUUGCACGGAGCGUGUGUGCAUUGCAUGGAGGGUGUGUGUGCAUUGCACGGAGGGUGUAGUUGCAUUGCACGGAGGGUGUUGUUGCAUUGUACGGAAGGUGUGGUUGCAUUGCACGGAGUGUGUGUGCAUUGCACGGAGUGUGUAGUUGCAUUGCACGGAGUGUGUGUGUAUGCAUUGCAUGGAGGGUGUAGUUGCAUUGCACGGAGCGUGUGUGCAUUGAACGGAGGGUGUAGUUGCAUUGAACGGAGGGUGUGUAGUGCACGGAGUGUGUAGUUGCAUUGCACGGAGUGUGUAGUUGCAUUGCAUGGAGUGUAGUUGCAUUGCAUGGAGUGUAGUUGCAUCGCAGGGAGUGUGUUUUGCAUUGAACGGAGUGUGUAGUUGCAUUGCACGGAGGGAUUGUGUGUGCAUUGCACGGAGUGUGUAGUUGCAUUGCACGGAGGGUUUGUGUGUGCAGUGCACGGAGUGUGUAGUUGCAUUGCACGGAGUGUGUAGUUGCAUUGCACGGAGUGUGUAGUUGCAUUGCACGGAGUGUGUAGUUGCAUUGCAUGGAGUGUGUUUUUGCAUUGCACAGAGUGUGUGUCUGAAAAGGAAGCUGGCUCGGCGGCAGCUUUGUCGGGACUUCUUUAAGGGUUCUGGCCAGCCUCGGCCCUGUAAAUUUACAUAUCAUGAUGGCAGCACAAGAUGCCCCCUGCCCAGCGGGGGCUGGAAGCUGGCAAGCAAUAGCUCAAUACCUUUUGCCCAUAUUCCCAUUUUAUUUAGGGAUCCAGUUGGAUAUCGUUGCUAAAACAUACCACUUGCCUAUGGAGAAGCUGUCUGCCUGGAAGGAAGUUAUUUUGUAAUACUUCCUGUGUAGCAAGUGAUGCUUCAUCAGAUCCGAUCUUGCUGGGUCUCUUAAUUAAUCUUCCCACUAGGCCAGGCUGCCUGCGGCCUGAGGUCCCCUUACCUUUGUGUACGCCUACCAAGUGUGGUGAAGGCAGAUAUCAGGCGAUGCUAGCAAUUCCUGAAUGUAUGCAAUAGUAGAAUCAUAGAAUCAUAGAAUCACAGAGUUGGAGGAGACCACAGGGGCCAUCGAGUCCAACCCCCUGCCAAGCAGGAAACACCAUCAGAGCACUCCUGACAUAUGGUUGUCAAGCCUCUGCUUAAAGACCUCCAAAGAAGGAGACUCCACCACACUCCUUGGCAGCAAAUUCCACUGUCGAACAGCUCUUACUGUCAGGAAGUUCUUCCUUAUGUUUAGGUGGAAUCUUCUUUCUUGUAGUUUGGAUCCAUUGCUCCGUGUCCGCUUCUCUGGAGUUCGCCAUGGCAGGAUACCUUGAACCCGCACAGGGAUUUUCAGGUUCAUGCUGGUGCUGCUGGAUCUUUGCCCUUUGGUUUUUAUUUCAAGGGAUGCUGGUGUGCAAAGCUAUGGCCUCAAGCCCGGUGUGGUGAGGCAAUCAUGUGACAUAACUUUUCUUGAGUUUUCCCCAUUGUAGUAGCAGUUCACAUGUGGCCCGAGGAGUUCAGUGACCAUUGGAUCUGCUUUUGGUCUGAUAACCAGGUAGUGGUGAGCGUCUUAGCAAAACAGUCCUCACGCUCUAGCACAGUCUCCGCCCCUCCGUUCAUGCUUUCGAGCUGCGCCGCUUAAGGUUUAAUAUUGUGCUGUCUACUCUCCAAAUUACAGGAUCCUCUAAUGAUGUCGCUGACACUCUAUCCCAUUUUCAGAUGAAGUGCUUCAGAUCCUGGGCUCCAGACUCAGCUAUUGCCAGACUUUUCCAGACCACCUGUGGCAUUUUGACAACAAUUAGUAAUUACAGAGAGCAGCAGCUUCCAUUUCCCCUUCUGCUUUUAGCUCUUAUGGGAAGGCCUGGAUGGAUUUCUUAGCCUUAAGCUGGCAGUCCUCGGCCAUUCAGAUGAACUGGCCCCCAUCCUCUGAGCAGAUCCGCAGUAUUUGGUCCACCUGCUGCAGAUUGGGCGUGCGUUAUAACUAUCAGAAUUCAGUCCGCUGCAAUGUCUGUUACACUGAAGCUUUAUUUUUCAGAGACCCUUGUAUAAAGUUUGUAGUGCGCAUGGCCUUGGAAGGUUGGAAUAGGCUCCAACCUCAUAGGACAGUGGGCAGGAAGCUGGUCAAUUUUUACCUAUGCAGUAUCUGCAACAAGUUAAAACUUGUCUGCUGGUUAAAGAUCAAGGCGAGACUCCUUUCAGUAGUCCACUGCAUUUUCGCACUGAGGCUUGGGAAAAUGGUUGUUGGAGCCAGCAUGGGGCUGAGAGUCUGGAGGCUUAUUGCUUCAGGACUUUUCCUUAUCCUUUGGAGCUUGUCAUUAGAGUUGGGAACUCUAAAACAGACUUAGUGGGCAGGAGUGCCACAAUCAGGCUUCCCGCCACAGUUGAGGAGGGCCCUUGCCUGGUUAUGGAUAACAGAAUAUUUGGCUUUUCAUUCCCUGGGGGCUGGCCCGCUCCUAGUGCAUGAAAAUGGGUUCCCGUUAGCCAGGCAUCAAUGUGCUUACGUCGUGCACCAGUUAUUACGGCCUGCGGCUUGCUUACCGCUGAACACGUCUCAUUCCUUACGAUUGGGUGCUGCUGCAAAGGCUGCACACUGGGGGCCUGUCAGUAGACAGGAUUGUGAAUACGGGUCAUUGGUAGUCUGACGCUGACAAGGGUUAUAUCAGGAAGUGUCACAAUGAUGUCUGUGCUGAUGCUUGUCUGUUAUUUCCUUUUUCAUAGGAGCAGCUGUGCACAUUUGGGCCACAGCAUUGUACACUAGGCUGGCAAGCAGGUUGACGAGUUUGGACUGGGGCGCCAUCUCAGUCUUCCUGCCCAUGUGAACAUAUACUGGAUGUCCAGAUGGGGAAUGCUUUGGGAGGAGAUCCUUCCUUUGGUGCGGUCGAGUGUGACCUGUGCAGGUCCUCCCGCAGUGCUAGUGGUGCAGCUGGACGAGAAUGACUUGCCGUCUUCCUCCAGCAUAAGUUUGCAUUCCUGCAUGCAAGAGGGCUUGGAUUGAGUUGAUGGCAGCUCUCCCAGGACUCAAAAUAAUUUAAGGCAUUGGUUCAAGGUGGUCUGGAGGGGGGGUUGGAGCACCUGUCCCCUCCAAUGCGCAAAGGAUUCACCAUGCUUUUGUCGACCCCUUUCGAGGGGUAGGGGCAUGCAAGAGUCCCUGGGAGCAUUUGGGGGUGAGCUUGAGUCUGAUCCUGGUUCAUUGCUCCCCCACGCUGUUACUGGUACUGACGAUAUGGUGGGGCCCAGUCGUCAGUGCUGCCCUGCUGAGGUCAGGUGCAGCCAGUCAGGAACCAAUGCCUAGACAAACUACCACCGAGCAGGCCAGAAAGCAUGUUAAUAAGGCGGUGGACAAUAG